rnacentral:tRNA from 1 species
GCCCUGGUGGUCUAGCGGCCUAUGAUGGGGCCCUGUCGAGGCCCCGACCCGGGUUCAAAACGAUGGGAACAAGAUGUCCCGACGUGACUUUCCCGGCCAGGGCG